UACGAAGGGGGCGAGCGUUGUUCGGAAUUACUGGGCGUAAAGCGCGUGUAGGCGGGGCUUUAAGUCAGGGGUGAAAUGCCAAGGCUCAACCUUGGAACUGCCUUUGAUACUGGAGACCUUGAGUCCGGGAGAGGUGAGUGGAAUUGCGAGUGUAGAGGUGAAAUUCGUAGAUAUUCGCAAGAACACCAGUGGCGAAGGCGGCUCACUGGCCCGGAACUGACGCUGAGACGCGAAAGCGUGGGGAGCAAACAGG
rnacentral:rRNA from 1 species